UCUUUUACGUCGGCCUUCGCGAGCGUCUGGGCGGGUGGUAGGAACAAUGGCGCUGUCUUCAGUGGCACAGUGGAGCAGCUCUGAAGAUGCAAAGAUACACGAAAAAACUUCCAGAACAUCUGGGAGAAUAUUUAAUGGAAAAUCGCUUGGUUAAAACCUGACACUUUUAACAGUGAACAGCGUUCUGAGUGUGGACGAGUAGCCAGUGAAGAUAAUGAAUGUCGAAUGUGACUGACUAGCAGCUUCAUUUUGAAUGAGGGUCGCUGUCUGCCCAUUGAUAGAGGCCAGAUUGUCUUGGAAGUUCCAAAGUUGCAACGAUUUCUGGCUAGUGCCACGAGGUUUACUUGACUGUUGUGUGAAAAGCUGAUAAGAAAACCAUCCAGAAAAAAGCUCUUCGUUUUACAAACAUGAAAAUAAAACAUGUAAUUUUGGAUUAUGUUCCUUUUUGUUAUUACUUUUAAAUAGGUCCUGAAAUAACAUGGGGAGCAUUAAAUGGAAAAUCCACUAACCAGCCUUGUAAUCAAAUUACUGUGAGUGAAUGUUUCGGGUUUGUGCAGGGUACAAUGUAAGGGUUUUUGGAUCAGUGUAAGAGUGGAGAGACAGGAAUUAGAAGUAAUUGUUACUAAGCAAAUCAUGGAAUAUUUAGUUUUGAUGUAACUAUAAUUUUGAAAGCCUGGAUGCUUAAGUUGAGAAAUGGGGGAAUGAGAUACAGAAAAUAAGGAGCACAAUAGAAUAAUAAUAGCAGUUUAUUAAGUAUGGUCAUGAGGGAAGGUUACUGAUAAAACAAUCUGGUAAAGACAUUCAGGCUUGCUAAAAUCUAGGAAGAGGUCAUUUGGCAGGAUGGGUUACAUAAUGCUAUCUGAUACUACCAAAUAAAAUGAGAGAGAAGCCUUAGGCAUGUAACGUUUGGAGAUAGAAAAUGUACCUUCACUAUGAAGGUAGUGUGUGUAAGAUGGCAGUUGAAAGCAUUGCUUGUGUUUAUGUUUAUACCCUUGAUCUCUGAUGCCCUUACCUACCGUACUUAAAACUCUGUUAAUCAUUGUCUUUCUCCCCCUCCCACAACUUCUGCAUAAAAUUUUAAGAUCUGUGUUUCAUUAGUUCAAGAGUGCCUAGAAUAGGGCCAGGCACUGUUAUACAGUAUGUGGUAAAAGACUAUUGAGAUUCCAGUUUUCAAGGAAGAGUGCCAUUACCGUUUUGUUAAAGCUGGCAAACAAGACAAAGUUGUGAAAUAGACUGGUUGCUUUGGAGCCCUCUGACCGCUUUUCCUGUAGCUCCUUCUACCUCCCUUGCCUCCCAAUAGAUUUUUUAAUAUGUCACAUUAUCUAUCGAAAUUAGUACUCCACAUUUAUAUGCACUGGCUUGUGCUAGGCUCUGCCAAGACUCCUGAAAUAAAACCGUUUUGUCAACAGUGGCACAAGAUGCCAAGGAAAAGUCAAGCUAUGAAGGAUUCUUGAAAAUAGAACAAGUGGAUUUGAGUCUAAACCAGCACAGAUGUUGGGACAAUAGGCCUAAGAAAUAACUGAGCAAAGACAGUAUGGUUCAGAGUCUGAGACAAAUAUUGAGGAUUUGGGUACCAACAGGGUGGAUAGGUGUAGGACAGAAAACUGAUGUUAUAAAUACCCUUAAGAUUCUUGAGCAAGGAAGUUACAAAUGUAAGACUAUUCCUGUAAUGAGAGUCAGAUCCAAAAAGGUUUAAUUUGAAUGGAAUUGAACUUGAAAGUUCAGUUUCAAUUACUGACUCCUUGAUGGCAAUUUCUAAUCACACAGGAGGCUGUUAGUCUGUCAUAGCCUCCUAAAAUCUCAGGCGAUAUUGGUUAAGAUCAGUUUCCUAAGUUUACCCUCCAGAGCAUAGCUGCUGCUUGGGACCAGGUGCAGUGACUCAUGCCUGUAAUCCCAGCACUCUGCUUGAGCCCAGGAAGAGACCAGCCUGGAAACAGCAAGUUGUCAUCUCUAUAAAUAAGUAAAACUGGGUGUGGUAACAUGCGCUUGUUCCAGCUACUCGGGAGGCUGAGAUAGGAGGAUCACUUGAACCUAGGAGGUUGAAGCUACAAUCAGCCAUGAUUGCACCUCUGUCUUCUAUCCUGGGCAACAGACCAGGCUAAAAAAAAAAAAAAUCCUUAAGGAGCUUGACUAUAAUAGACUGGGAUAUGCUUGAUUCUGAUUGGUUUCAGAAGUUGAAAGAUAAUUUACGUGUCUGACUUUAGUGACUUCAGCCAACAGGAAUUUUUCCUCUGCCUUACACCAGGCUUCCAGGUAAUCUUAAAAUACAGUAAGCUCAAACCUACCAUUUGGUGCUUUCUAAAAUUAGUUCUAUUGCCAGAAACCCAAUAUCCACUGUGCUUGGCUCCCCAGUCAAGUGUCCUGUGAACUAACAUCAAUCCUCACUGCCCUGUGUAUAUGAAAGAGCUUUCAGCUGUUUUCAUGGUUUUUCUAACAGUUCCCCAGUUGGGAUUAGAGCCUUUGUUUGAAUCAGCCUACUAGAAUAACCUGCUUAUCUUUUGCCAGUCCUUUAAUAGGAGUGGGACCCUCCUUCCUGCCUUUUCAAAAGCUUGGUUCUGGAUCCAAACAAUACUUAUAGUACUUAGUUAUAGGUAUAUAUUAGUAUACAUGACUUAACUGUCUGAAUAUUGCCACUGCCUCUGAUCUUACUCCAUCCUGUAGAGUAACAUCUUGUAGAGAGCAUCUUGGGGCAGAAGAGGAUACAUUUUCAGUAUGAGAACCAGACUCCUUGUCUUACUCUCAUGAGUCCUGGUCUCCUCCUGGUACUACUAUUCCACUGCUGAGGUCUCAGCAUGCCAUAUAGCUGAGUUUGUCAGAGUUAAUGAGGGUUUAAUCAGAAUCCCAAAUCAAGUACAGUCCAGUCCAACCUAUUUGAGAACUUUAUCUUUCUUGUUACUUCAUUUAUUAUAGUUCACUUCAAAAGAGCAAUGGAAAAGGCACUUCAGAAUAUGCAAAAAAUGUAUCAUUUGAAGGCAAUAAUUUACAAAUAUGCAUUACUUCACUGAGAUCAGGAAACUUUUGUCCUUGCCUCCUGUAGUGAAUAUAACUGAUGUACAAAAAUGUGUACAUUUAAAAAGUAUACAAUUUGAUGGGUUUUUCAUAGGAAUAUACUCAUGAAACCAUCAACAUAAUCAAGAUAAUGACUAUAUCCAUCACUCCCAAAAAUAUUCUAUUGUUGGCUUGAUUUUGAACAUGUUAAGUUUAAAUAGCACAUGUUAUUCAAAUUGGGAUUUUUGAGUAGGCAGUUAGAUAUAGAGGUCCACAGUUCAGAGGAGAGGUCUGACUAAAAUAAAAUUGGGAGUUAACAUAUGGAAGGCAUAUUUAAAGCCAUAAGAUUAGAUGAGAUCACCAAUAGAGAAAAAAGUCCAAGAGUUGAACCCUGUGGCCUUUCAGGAUUAGGACAUUCCAGGUUUAUUCAAAUCCUAGAGAAUAAUUUGUGCCAAGGGACAAAAAUCAGGACGCAGGAAUCUGCUGCCAAGUUCAAGGGCCAUAUUUGUUAGGAACAGAAACUAAGUAGAAAACCAAGGAUGCCUGGAAUGAAAUGAGCCAAGAAAAAAGGAUAAGAACCAAGCAAAACUUGCUGGAAAUUGCCUUGGAUUUAAUAUAGACCAUUGGUCAACAUGAAAACUGAAGAUAGUGUCUGAUCAUGACUUUGCAAAGUAACAGACGAAGUGAUCUUCAGGAGAGAAUAAGAUGAGGAAUUUAGGAAGUAUGAUAAGGCUUUUUCAUCAGACACUGCAGAUUGGGAGAAAAUGGAGCUGACCAUGGACAAGUUAUAAAUUUGCCUAGCAUUGAUAAAGUAUCAGCUGAGGCUGAAAACCACCAAUUUUAACAAAAAUCAGCAUAUUUCUUCAGUAUUGUGUGGUGCUUAUCUCCUUGGGAGCAGAAAGCAGAGACUGGAUUAAUCCAAAAUCAGGGAUAAACUGACCAGGAGGAGCAGAGGAAUAAUGGGCCAAGAGUACUGAGGAUGCAAGUAAAAGUGCUCAAAUUACUGUAUUGACCUUGUAAUCCCAAGCUGAUCGGGGAAGGAAAAAAAAAAAACAGGAGAGGGCUGGAAAAUUGUCACAGGUAAUGACAGAGGAUCAGAUGUGCUAUAGAAAUGUGCUGUUGAAAAUGGUAGACUAAGCCCCUCUCCAAUUAUACUGUGGAAUGAGCCGUAUAACAUGUUGUGAUUAUUGGUUUCUCCCUUCUGGACCUGGAGUGUCAGUUCUUCUAAAGCAGAGACUUCCCUUUAAUCUCUGUUUAAACUUGGUGCCUAGGACAAUGUAAUGGCAUCCAUAAAAUAUCUAAUGGAAUGGAGUUUAACAUGUUUUUUAGGGUGGAACUGGUGGUGUGAUUUAAAUUCUCCAAAAGAGAAAUGAGAAAAGUUGGAAGCUGUUGUGGCCUGACUUUAUACCCCCAAAAUUCAUAUUUUGAAUACCCCAAAAAGAAGUAUAAUUUAGUUGAAUCCAUGGACAUGAAACCCACAGAUAUAGAGGGUUGGCCCGGUGCAGUGGCUCACGCCUGUAAUCCCAGCACUUUGGGAGGCCAAGGCGGGUGGAUCACCUGAGGUCAGAAGCUUGAGACCAGCCUGGCCAACAUGGUAAAACCCCAUCUCUACUAAUAAUACAAAACAAUUUGCUGGGCAUGGUGGUGCACGCUUGUAAUCCAAGCUACUCCAGAGGCUGAGGCAGAAGAAUCGCUUGAAUCCGAGAGGCAAAGGUUGCAGUGAGCCCAGAUCACACCACUGCUCUCCAACCUGGGCAACAAGAGCAAAACUCCGUCAAAAAAAAAAGAUACAGGGUCAACUGUACACAUUAAACACUUCUAUCAACUAGUGAUGUCAGUCUUGUCCAUUGUAUUAUUGCCUAUCUUACUAAACAGUCAUAUUUCAGGAAGUACAAUAUACUCAAAAACUAAGUUAAUGUUCUUUGUAGAUUUAUGGUUAAUGGAUGAUUCAUAUAAUAGAAACUUAAAUUUAUUUGACCAUUCUAUUUAAUAUAGAAUAAAUACAACUAGCCAGGCAUGGUGGCUCAUGUCUAUAAUGCCAGCACUUGGGGAGGCCAAGGUGGGAGGCUCACUUGAGCAUAGGAAUUCAAGGCCAGCCUGGGCAACACAAUGUGAGACCCGUCUCUAUGAAAAUUUUAAAAAUUAGCCAAGCAUGGUAACACAAGUCUGUGGUCCCAGCUACUUGGGAGGCUGAGGCGCGAGAAGUCCAGGAGGUCAACGCUGCAGUGAGCUGUGUGUGUGCCACUGCAUCCUAGCCUGGGCAACAGAGCAAGACCCUGUCUCAAAAAUAAAGAAUAAAUACAACCUAUUAAGCUUGAGAGAUCCAGUGAAAUCCAAAUAAGAGAAACUGUGUCCUACACAGUUUUCUGUUAACCAUUUUCUUGGUAUUUAAAUUAUUUAUCAAAUUUUAACUUCAAUAAAAAAUUAUUCUGGAGAACACAUACCUCUAGAGUAAGUAAAGUAUACACUUUCAAUUUUUAGACAUGAGGUUUUGAGGUGUUUGACUGUAUCUAAUUUCCUAAAGGCUCUAUUUUUUAACCUACAAAAAUUAUAAAAAGAUAUAUAAAAGAUAUGAAAUGUAAAAAUAAGGAAGAUAUGAAGAUUAAAAUAACCUAUAAUCCCACCACUCAGAGGUAACUGUUAUACAAUUUUUGAUGUAUUAUUCUAUGCAGAUAUAAAUUUUAAUAAAAUUUGAAUUAUAUACAGUUUGUCAUCCUGAUUCCUUUCAUUUAAUAUUCUUUUUUAAAAAAUAUUUAUUUAUUUUAGACACAGGAUCUUGCUAUGUAACCCAGGCUGGCCUCGAACUCCAGUGUUCAAGCAAUUCUUGGCUUCAACCUCCCCAAUAAAUCGGACUACAGGCGAGGGCCACCACACCCAGCUCAUUUAAUUUCUAUCAUGACAAUUUUCAACAUUAUUAAAAAUUCUACUCAUUCUUUUCAUUGGCAAUAUUGAGAGCAUUUUUUUUUAUUCUUUUUUUUUUUUUUUUUUGAGACAGAGUCUCACUCUGUUGCCAGGCUGGAGUGCAGUGGCGCGAUCUCGGCUCACUGCAACCUGUACCUCCCGGGUUCAAGCAAUUCUCCUGUCUCAGCUUCCCGAGUAGCUGGGACUACAGGCACGCGCCACUAUGCCCAGCUAAUUUUUGUAUUUUUGGUAGAGACAGGGUUUCACUAUGUUGGCCAGGAUAGUCUCAAUCUUUUGACCUUGAGAUCUGCCUACCUUGGCCUCCCAAAGUGCUGGGAUUACAGGCAUGAGCCACUGUGCCUGGAUUAUUUUUUAAUUUUUUUUUUUUGAGACAGAGUCUCACUUGGUUGCCCAGGCUGCAGUGCGCACUACCAC
rnacentral:lncRNA from 1 species